UACGGAGGAUCCGAGCGUUAUCCGGAUUUAUUGGGUUUUAAGGGAGCGUAGGCGGGUUGUUAAGUCAGUUGUGAAAGUUUGCGGCUCAACCGUAAAAUUGCAGUUGAUACUGGCAUCCUUGAGUACAGUAGAGGUAGGCGGAAUUCGUGGUGUAGCGGUGAAAUGCUUAGAUAUCACGAAGAACUCCGAUUGCGAAGGCAGCCUGCUGGACUGUAACUGACGCUGAUGCUCGAAAGUGUGGGUAUCAAACAGG
rnacentral:rRNA from 1 species